CCUACGGGAGGCAGCAGUGAGGAAUAUUGGUCAAUGGACGAGAGUCUGAACCAGCCAAGUAGCGUGAAGGAUGACUGCCCUAUGGGUUGUAAACUUCUUUUAUAAAGGAAUAAAACGAGGCACGUGUGCCUUUUUGCAUGUACUUUAUGAAUAAGGAUCGGCUAACUCCGUGCCAGCAGCCGCGGUAAUACGGAGGAUCCGAGCGUUGUCCGGAUUUAUUGGGUUUAAAGGGAGCGUAGAUGGGUUGUUAAGUCAGUUGUGAAAGUUUGCGGCUCAACCGUAAAAUUGCAAUUGAUACUGGCAGUCGUGAGUACAGUUGAGGUAGGCGGAAUUCGUGGUGUAGCGGUGAAAUGCUUAGAUAUCACGAAGAACCCCGAUUGCGAAGGCAGCUUACUAAACUGUGACUGACAUUGAUGCUCGAAAGUGUGGGUAUCAAACAGGAUUAGAUACCCUUGUAGUC
rnacentral:rRNA from 1 species